GGGUUGUGAGGUUAAGCGACUAAGCGUACACGGUGGAUGCCCUGGCAGUCAGAGGCGAUGAAGGACGUGCUAAUCUGCGAUAAGCGCCGGUAAGGUGAUAUGAACCGUUAUAACCGGCGAUUUCCGAAUGGGGAAACCCAGUGUGACUCGUCACACUAUCAUUAACUGAAUCCAUAGGUUAAUGAGGCGAACCGGGGAACUGAAACAUCUGGCACCCCGAGGAAAAGAAAUCAACCGAGAUUCCCCAGUAGCGGCGAGCGAACGGGAGGAGCCCAGAGCCUGAAUCAGCAUGUGUGUUAGUGGAAGCGUCUGGAAAGGCGCGCGAUACAGGUGACAGCCCCGUACACAAAGCGCAUGUGCUGUGAGCUCGAUGAGUAGGGCGGGACACGUGGUAUCCUGUCUGAAUAUGGGGGACCAUCCUCCAAGGCUAAAUACCUGACUGACCGAUAGUGAACCAGUACCGUGAGGGAAAGGCGAAAAGAACCCGGCGAGGGAGUGAAAAGAACCUGAAACCGUGUACGUACAAGCAGUGGAGCACCACUGCCAGUGGUGAACUCCACAUACGCAUCCUUGCUGAGGAUACGGUUAACGGAGCGCAAGCGACGUUCAACCGCAAAGAAGCAGAGGGGCUUAGUGGUGGGUGACUGCGUACCUUUGUAUAAUGGGUCAGCGACUUAUAUUCUGUAGCAAGGUUAACCGAAUAGGGGAGCCGGAGGAAACCGAGUCUUAAUUGGGCGUUAAGUUGCAGGGUAUAGACCCGAAACCCGGUGAUUCAGCCAUGGGCAGGUUGAAGGUUGGGUAACACUAACUGGAGGACCGAACCGACUAAUGUUGAAAAUUAGCGGAUGACCUGUGGCUGGGGUGAAAGGCCAAUCAAACCGGGAGAUAGCUGGUUCUCCCGAAAGCUAUUUAGGUAGCGCCUCGUGAAUUCAUCUCCGGGGUAGAGCACUGUUUCGGCUAGGGGCCAUCCCGGCUUACCAACCCGAUGCAAACUGCGAAUACCGGAGAAUGUUAUCACGGGAGACACACGGCGGGUGCUAACGUCCGUCGAAGAGGAAACAACCCAGACCGCCAGCUAAGGUCCCAAAGUCAUGGUUAUGGGAAACGAUGUGGAAGGCCCAGACAGCCGGAUGUUGGCUUAGAAGCAGCCAUCAUUUAAAGAAAGCGUAAUAGCUCACUGGUCGAGUCGGCCUGCGCGGAAGAUGUAACGGGCUAAACCAUGCACCGAAGCUGCUGGCAGCGACGCUGAUGCGUUGUUGGGUAGGGAGCGUUCUGUAAGCCUGCGAAGGUGGCCUGUGAGGGUUGCUGGAGGUAUCAGAAGUGCGAAUGCUGACAUAAGUAACGAUAAAGCGGGUGAAAAGCCCGCUCGCCGGAAGACCAAGGGUUCCUGUCCAACGUUAAUCGGGCAGGGUGAGUCGACCCUAAGGCGAGGCCGAAAGGCGUAGUCGAUGGGAAACGGGUUAAUAUUCCCGUACUUGGUGUUACUGCGAAGGGGACGGAGAAGGCUAUGUUGGCCGGGCGACGGUUGUCCCGGUUUAAGCGUGUAGGUGUGUUCCGUAAAUCCGGUUCACUUUAACACUGAGGCGUGACGACGAGGCACUACGGUGCUGAAGCAACAAAUGCCCUGCUUCGGUGAAAGCCUCUAAGCAUCAGGUAACACGAAAUCGUACCCCAAACCGACACAGGUGGUCAGGUAGAGAAUACCAAGGCGCUUGAGAGAACUCGGGUGAAGGAACUAGGCAAAAUGGUGCCGUAACUUCGGGAGAAGGCACGCUGACACGUAGGUGAAGUGAUUUACUCAUGGAGCUGAAGUCAGUCGAAGAUACCAGCUGGCUGCAACUGUUUAUUAAAAACACAGCACUGUGCAAACACGAAAGUGGACGUAUACGGUGUGACGCCUGCCCGGUGCCGGAAGGUUAAUUGAUGGGGUCAGCGCAAGCGAAGCUCCUGAUCGAAGCCCCGGUAAACGGCGGCCGUAACUAUAACGGUCCUAAGGUAGCGAAAUUCCUUGUCGGGUAAGUUCCGACCUGCACGAAUGGCGUAAUGAUGGCGGCUGUCUCCACCCGAGACUCAGUGAAAUUGAACUCGCUGUGAAGAUGCAGUGUACCCGCGGCAAGACGGAAAGACCCGUGAACCUUUACUAUAGCUUGACACUGAACAUUGAGCCUUGAUGUGUAGGAUAGGUGGGAGGCUUUGAAGUGUGGACGCCAGUCUGCAUGGAGCCGACCUUGAAAUACCACCCUUAAUGUUUGAUGUUCUAACGUGGACCCGUGAUCCGGGUUGCGGACAGUGUCUGGUGGGUAGUUUGAUCAGGGCGGUCUCCCAAAGAGUAACGGAGGAGCACGAAGGUUGGCUAAUCCUGGUCGGACAUCAGGAGGUUAGUGCAAUGGCAUAAGCCAGCUUGACUGCGAGCGUGACGGCGCGAGCAGGUGCGAAAGCAGGUCAUAGUGAUCCGGUGGUUCUGAAUGGAAGGGCCAUCGCUCAACGGAUAAAAGGUACUCCGGGGAUAACAGGCUGAUACCGCCCAAGAGUUCAUAUCGACGGCGGUGUUUGGCACCUCGAUGUCGGCUCAUCACAUCCUGGGGCUGAAGUAGGUCCCAAGGGUAUGGCUGUUCGCCAUUUAAAGUGGUACGCGAGCUGGGUUUAGAACGUCGUGAGACAGUUCGGUCCCUAUUCGCCGUGGGCGCUGGAGAACUGAGGGGCUGCUCCUAGUACGAGAGGACCGGAGUGGACGCAUCACUGGUGUUCGGGUUGUCAUGCCAAUGGCACUGCCCGGUAGCUAAAUGCGGAAGAGAUAAGUGCUGAAAGCAUCUAAGCACGAAACUUGCCCCGAGAUGAGUUCUCCCUGAGACUUUAGGUCUCCUGAAGGAACGUUGAAGACGACGACGUUGAUAGGCCGGGUGUGUAAGCGCAGCGAUGCGUUGAGCUAACCGGUACUAAUGAACCGUGAGGCUUAACCUUACAACGCCGAAG
rnacentral:rRNA from 1 species